rfam:Caenorhabditis brenneri strain PB2801 C_brenneri-6.0.1_Cont34.27, whole genome shotgun sequence.
UAUUCAAGGGUGGAUAGGGCCUGUGCUGAUUUUUGCCGCAGUGAUAUUUCUGAGCUAUGAUUAUCACCGGGCGAAAAUUUGGCACAAGCCCGGUCCGCCCUU